GAGAUACUCACUCCUUUCCGAAGGCAAGCGGGUUUGUCCUGUACUCUGUAUAGCCGCCUGUGAGCUUGUUGGUGGCCAAGAAUCAACAGCAAUGCCUGCUGCUUGUGGAAUGGAGAUGAUGCAUGCUAUGUGGUUGAUGCACGACGACCUUCCCUGCAUGGACAAUGAUGAUUUCCGUCGAGGAAAACUGUCAAAUCACAAGGUUUAUGGCGAAAAUGUCACUGUUUUAGCUGGUUAUUCCCUUGUUGCCUUUGCAUUUCAGCAUAUGACAACAGCCACUAAAGGGGUACACCCGAAAACAAUGGUUCGUGCUGUUGGAGAACUAGCAAGAUUGAUAGGUCCAGAGGGGGUAGUGGCUGGCCAGGUGCUUGACUUGCUGUGUGGAGGUAACUCUGAUACUGGAUUAGAAGAGCUUGAGUAUAUUCAUCGUCACAAGACUGCAGACUUUGCAGAGGCCGCAGCCAUUGUAGGAGCAUUGGUUGGUGGUGCGUCUGAGGAGGAGAUUAAUAGACUUAGGAAAUUCUCGCAGUGUUUUGGACUGAUGUAUCAGGUUGUGGAUGAUAUUCUUGAUGUCACUAAAUCCUCUGAGCAAUUAGGAAAGACAGCGGGGAAGGAUUUGUUGGCUAACAAAUUGACGUACCCAAAGAUGAUUGGCAUUGACAAGUCCAAAGAAUAUGCUCAAAAACUUAACAAGGAGGCCAAGGAGCAACUUGUUGGUUUUGAUCCAAAAAAGUCAGCUCCAUUACUUGCUUUGGCAGAUUUCGCUCUUCAUCGGCAAAAAUGAUCUUGUUAGGAUAAUUAUGCCUGUAUUAUUUAACUUUAAUUGUGCACAUUUUAUUUUCAUGUAAGGACAUAGUAGGGAGCAGAGCUCUUUCAGUUCUUUGAGAUUUAUCUGGAAACAUGAAUGCUGCUUAAUUUGUCCAUCUGAAACUGGCUUUUCUAAUGUGUACUCCCUCAUAAAUUCACAAGUUUAAAUCCACAAUGAACAAAGCUUUUAAAAAACAAAAAGAUAUACACUGCAGUGACAGGCGGGAAUACUUACCACUAUACUACAACGACUGCUUGUCAGAGCUACAGCCUUUGUUAUAUUCCAUUCAAGAAAACUAGUUGUAUGGAGUAUACAGAGAUGUUGUGCUCUUUGCGAUUGUUGAUUGAUUCCUCCAUGCAGGUUUGUCUAUGCUUCGUCCCCGAUGUUGUGCUCUUUGCGACGCUCGGUAAGUGAGCUUCUAACUUCUUUUUUGUUUUCCGGUCUGAAACUGUGAUUGAUGUUGCCCUUUCUUUUAAUUUUGCACUGAAAAAGAUUUGAUCUUUGAACAAUAGAAUGAGCACCCGAAGGUGCAAAUACCAACCCUAAUAGUUAAAUCAAGAUUAGGUCUGUGAUUUGUUCUACAUGUUGCCUAGCCCAUUUGGUUCUUGUAGAUGCUUCAUACCUUUUCUCUUUGCUUGUUAUUGUGUACUGUCUGUUGUUGUAUUGGUGUCUGCAUUUUGGCUCUUGAGUUCCUAUAGCUGAGUAUGUUUCCUCUCUGCUGAGCCAGUCCAAUUUAGAGGUUUAUUGUACUGAGCCAAUCCAGGAAGCAUUACACCAAUUUUGUUUCUGUACUGUUUUGUAUGUGUCCGUGUUUGUGCUGUUGUUCUUUGUCUUCCUUGAAGGUCUACCUGCAACCAAAGAAACCAGAUUAGUUAAAAGUUUGUUUCUCAUGUUCUCCUCCCAAUAUGAAAUUUGUUCAUGAUAAACAGUGGCCUCCUUCCAUCUUUCACUCCAGCUUUUCAUCUCUUGCAUGAUCUGAUCCUCAAGUUAGGGAAAACAGUAAGUGUAUAGGCAUACUCUGUAGCACAAGUUUAACGAGUGUUACCCUCCCACCAAUAGAAAGUAGCUUCCCUGUUCAUUAGUUGAGUAUAUUAAAAACCUUGUCUGUGAUCUCUUUAUAGUGUGCUAUUAAUCUCUUUGCAUAGUAAAUUGGUACUUCCAAAUAUGUGAAGGGGAAAUCUUUUGUAGGAAUUCUGGUAAUCUCUGACACUUUAGCUUUUACUUCUUGACUCGCAUUGUGAUCAAGAAAGAUUGCAAUCUUGCCUUUGCUCAUUUUCUGAACACUUGCUAUUUCAUAUGUUGAGAGAGUAUCCAUGAUCAAUAUUAGUGAUUCUUCAUUAGCAAAGACAAAUAUAAUAGUGUCAUCAGCAUAAACAAGAUGGUUUAUGUCUGGACUCCAUUUUGGCAUGCCAAAUCCAGCAAAUCUGUGAUCUGAGUGUGAUGCACUUAAUGCCCUUGACUAGAGCUGUCAAUAUGGGCUAGCCCACCCCAUCCGGGCUAACCCAUACAGGCUUUGACAUUUUACAGGUCAGGCCGGGCUAGCCCAUUUUUGGUGUGGGCCAGAAAAUGGUCGGCCCAGCCCACAAGUACGUGGGCUAUAGGCUUGCCGGGCUAGCCCACUUUUUUAAAAAUUAUAUUUUUUCUAUAAUUAUUAAAAUAAAUUAUAAUUGUAAUUUAAAAAUAUUAUCAUAAAUAUCGACAAAACAAUAUUACAUGGUGUUAAUGUUACUANNNNNNNNNNNNNNNNNNNNNNNNNNNNNNNNNNNNNNNNNNNNNNNNNNNNNNNNNNNNNNNNNNNNNNNNNNNNNNNNNNNNNNNNNNNNNNNNNNNNNNNNNNNNNNNNNNNNNNNNNNNNNNNNNNNNNNNNNNUGAUCAUCUUCAUCAAGCAUAUCUGAAUCAGCUUGCGGCAAGGUUGUCUUAACAUCUUUAUUUUCAUCUGCAAUUUAUAUGCGGUUUCAAUUAGUUAAAUAUUAAAUAGAUUUUGAGUUUGGACUCUCUUUAAUUUUAAAUUUUAAUAUUAUAUUAUAUUUUUUUAAUUAUUUUUAUUUAGUCCACGGGCCGGCCCUACCUAUAUUUCUCAAGCCCCAUAGAUCAGCAGACUUAUUCAGGCCGGGCUAAAAAACCUUUUUCUUAAAUGGGCUCCAAAAAUCUUAGCCCAGCCCUAUUAAAUCCCGGGUUAGGCCAGGCCGGCCCAACGGGCCUAGCCCAUAUUGACGGCUCUACCCUUGACAUGCAUUCUGAGGCCAAAAUGAAUAGAGUUCAUGGCAACAAAAGAAAAAUCUUACCAUUUUCAUCAUAUCUUUGGCAAUGAAGAAUCUUUACUGACGAGAAGAGAAAGGGGAAAUGCCUUCAGUUUCAUAAAAUAUUCCUGCAUUUUUGUCAUAUAUAAUUAAUGAGUAUAGCUUUGGUUGGUGCUAUGUCAACUUCCCCUCCUUCAUUCAAACUUGGAGCUUUUAUAAAUUAUUGAAUGUGCCAAAUAAUUUUGACUUGCUUUCCAACUGGAUCUGCCUUUUAAAUGUAGGAGUAAUAAUUUUCUUCGUGGCUUUCACUUUGGAAAUCAAUUUUUUCUUAAAGUCAUGUGAGUGAGACCAUUAUGUGGGUAAAAUCUUCCACUCAUCCUCUAUAGGUAUGAGCAAAAUACCAAAGAGCCAACUCAUGAGUUAUAGCAAGGUCCCAUAAAGUUUUUGGCUUGAGGAUUCCAGUCUGGAUAGUAAUUCACCAGAUCAGAGAAAAAGAUUGGCAGACUUCUCAAGUUAAGAGUCAUGUCUAUGCUAAAAAGAGUAAUCCACAAUCUUGCAAAACUUAGUACAAGAGGUACUCCAAAAAGAUCCAGAUCUGCAGGAACAAAGUUGCUUCUUUCCUCAGAGGAAACAACAGAAGUUAUAUUCCUCCCAAAAGCAAGAUCCUUUUGUAAUAGCACAGAUCUUUCCAAGAAUGAAUCUGAAGUUAUCAAACAUGAAAACAUAUGUAGAGAAUCUGGAAAGACAACAAGUGUCUUUGAUUUCAAAAGUUACAUGGUUCAAAAGAUCAAAUCUGUCAAUCAAGCCUUAGAUGCUGCUGUUCCAAUCAGAGAGCCUAUCAAGUUCCAUGAAGCAAUGAGAUACUCACUCCUUUCUGAAGGCAAGCGGGUUUGCCCUGUACUCUGCAUAGCCGCCUGUGAGCUUGUUGCUGGCCAAGAAUCAACGGUGAUGCCUGCUGCUUGCGGAAUGGAGAUGAUAAUCUCUAUGUGUCUGAUGCACGACGACCUUCCCUGCAUGGACAAUGGUGAUCUCCGUCGAGGAAAGCUGUCAAAUCACAAGGUUUUUGGUGAAAAUGUCACUGUUCUAGCUGGUUAUUCACUUGUUGCCUUAGCAUUUGAGCAUAUGGCAACAACCACUAAAGGGGUGC
rnacentral:lncRNA from 1 species